CAUCUUUAAGACAUCAUCUUUCCAUCAACUAUGAAUCCAUCUAUUAUCUAGUGUGUGUAUAGUUUAACUUUGUUCUAGGGCAUCAGAACUUGGUGCCCAAGUAUACUUGGCACCUCUUAAGGAAUUAGGGAAAGAUGCCCCCUCCAGACAGGGAUUAGGAAAGUGUGCCAGUUCUUCCCAGAUAAAGUCCGUUAUAGCAGAUGUGUUUAUCUUUCAAAUUUCCUUGUCAAAAAAGAAAAUGACUUAGUGAUCUUCAUUUACCUCUGUUGAUCACUCUGCUUUUUUUUGAAGGCAGUAUUAAUAUUUUAAUAUUACUACAACAUUUUUGUGGGUUUGAAAUUUUUCAAAAUAAAGUUAGAAAAAUAUUAAAAAUGUCAUACAGCUUAUUUUAAAUCAGUCAUCAAAAUUAGAAAACAAAUUUAAAG
rnacentral:lncRNA from 1 species